CUCAGAUGGCCAAAGCACAAGCAGAUUUGAUACAGCUGUAUUUUUUAGAUGGAGUCUCGCUCUGUCGCCCAAGCUGGAGUGCAGUGGCGCGAUCUCAGCUCACUGCAACCUCCACCUCCUGGGUUCAAGCGAUUCUCCUGCCUCAGCCCCCUGAGUAGCUGGGACUACAGGCGUACACCACCAAGUCUGGCUAAUUUUUUGUAUUUUUAGAAGAGAUGGGGUUUCACCAUGUUAGUCAGGAUGGUCUCGAUCGCCCUCCUCGGUCUCCCAAAGUGCUGGGAUUACAGGCAUGAGUCACCACGCCUGGCCUGAUACAGCUGUAUCUUUAAAGCUCCAACAUGUGAGGAGGUUCAGCCUUGAGGGGCCUAUCAGGAACCAAGAACCACAACAUUCUUUUCCUUUCUGAGGUCGUAGCCGCUGUGAGUCUUAGCUUCUCUCUGCAUCUGUGAGGUCAUCUCCCUUUCUGUAGAGCAUAUGAUCUUUACUGAUGCACCUGCAUCUGGCUCAGACUUAGUCACCCAGCCCUGAAAUUAUAUCAUAUCACAGGUCAUUCUCUGAGUCUCUUAAUGUGAGGCCUUGAGAGAAAAAUCAACAUGCCUUCUGUUGGAUGAAGACCAAUCAGCAAGAUGGUGGUGAUUGUGAGUCGUUGCAAGGAUCAAGUGAGUUGAAAUCCGUAAGGUGCUUGGGAGAAUGCCUGGCGCCUGGAAGCACUGUAUAUUCCAAAAAAGGAGAUAUAAACAUGACCAUAAAAGACAUGAAAAGAUGUUUAACCCCAUUAGUCAUCGUGGAAAUGCAAAUGAAAACCACCAUACAGACACUAGAGUGGUUUAAAUUUGAAUGACUUCCAACACCAAAUGCCAGACAGGACAUAGAGCAACUGGAUGUCUCAUGCUCACAGGCAGAAGGGAAAACUACUGUGUGUGACAGGAAGAUGGACUUACCCAACCUUCAGCAUUCUCAAUCUCUUGUCUAUUAACAUGUGUUUGAAACAUUAUGCAUUCAAAGCAAACAUCUGGGAGGAAGAUGGGAGAAGCCUUCUUGCCCCUGUUCUACAGAAGUAAUUGAAGUUCAUGACAUUCAAGCUCAUUCACCAGUAAAUGAAUUUGGGUCAUGCUUUAUGUCUGUUGUAAAUACAGUGAAAAUUUG
rnacentral:lncRNA from 1 species